rnacentral:rRNA from 1 species
AAUUUUGACCUUUAAGUACUUUUUCGGGCAUUUUCGUGAUUUGUGCUAUAUUACGGACCCAAAAUUACUUUUUCAAGCAUUGUUUUCGAAUAUUUUUCAUGCAUCAAAGCUCGUUAAGAUUAGAUGGGGUAUCCCUACAUGGCGGGUGGGACCCACGGCGAACGGUUCAUCAAGACUUUAAAAAAAGAAUAUAUACGAUUGCAUUGCAUAUACUAACGGAUGCGAUCAUACCAGCACUAAUGAACCGGAUCCCAUCAGAACUCCGCAGCUAAGCGUGCUUGGGCGAGAGUAGUACUAGGAUGGGUGACCUCCUGGGAAGUCCUCGUGUUGCAUCCCUCUUUUAUGUUUAACCUUUUUUUUUUGGUUAAAACUUUAUGACUCCAUAACUUAUAAACAGA